rnacentral:rRNA from 1 species
GUGGAUUAGAUACCCUAGUAGUCCACGCCCUAAACGAUGUCAACUGGUUGUCGGGGAAGUAAUUCCUUGGUAACGAAGCUAACGCGUGAAGUUGACCGCCUGGGGAGUACGGCCGCAAGGCUUAAACUCAAAGGAAUUGACGGGGACCCGCACAAGCGGUGGAUUAUGUGGAUUAAUUCGAUGCAGCGCGAAAAACCUUACCUACCCUUGACAUGUGCGGAACGGGAUAGAGAUAUCCCGGUGCCCGAAAGGGAACCGCAACACAGGUGCUGCACGGUCGUCGCCAGCU